CUGAAGUAGCCAAAAGUAGAAACAAAUUCACCGUCAACCAUCCAAGGCCCCGACGCCUUCGCCAGACAACGCUAGGGUUCGACGGCCGGCCGCCUCCGCCCACGCAGACGACGAUUCUUGCCACCCGCCGCUCCCAACUCACGGGUGGGCUUGUGAUGGAGAGAGAUGGAGGGUACUUCACAUGACUUACAGCAAGGAGCCCACGGACAUGAUUGACUUCAAUUGUUCUUCUUCAACUGCGGAUGCAGGGCGGAACCGGCCGACACUCUCUGAGUACAGGCACGCAGAAUUUCUACAAGUUCGUGCCAUGGAGCAUACAUAUCAUCCGAACGUGCAGCCCACACGUACGCACGCUACACACGGACGAGAAUAAAACGCAUUUAAACAUGCUACCCAUUGCAUUCAUCCAAGCAAAGCUAUUACUAGCAUUGUGUAGUAGCAAACCUGUGGACGUUAGUGUUUAGAUCCAGCGGAUGCGCAGUUAUUUUGGUUUCU